rnacentral:rRNA from 1 species
UACGUAGGGGGCUAGCGUUGUCCGGAUUUAUUGGGCGUAAAGAGCGUGUAGGCGGCCAGGUAGGUCUGCUGUGAAAACUCGAGGCUUAACCUCGAGAUGUCGGCGGAAACCAUCUGGCUAGAGUCCGGAAGAGGAGAGUGGAAUUCCCGGUGUAGCGGUGAAAUGCGCAGAUAUCAGGAAGAACACCCGUGGCGAAGGCGGCUCUCUGGGACGGUACUGACGCUGAGACGCGAAAGCGUGGGGAGCGAACAGG